CGAGGCAGCGCCGCGCGCGUCCUGCGGUGGGCCGGGGCGCUCCAGGCCCCGCUGCAGGCCCAGCCUGGGCGCUGUCUAGGUAGCCGUUGGUUUCACUGCUCUUCUCCAUGGCGUUGCCCGCAGCUCGGAGCUGGAGAAGAAGGAGAGGCAAUUCUAGAGACACCCUCUAUUUUGCCAACCAGCAACUUCCUUUGUUUUGACUACCGUUUUUAUACAAGGACUCUCGUAUCAUGCUCCAGAAAUGAAUUCCCAAUUGCCUGCUUUACAUCUCCACCUGGACAUCCUGAAGGCAUUCCAACUCAGCAUGUCAAACACUGACUCAUGGCUGGCCCCCUCAAGCCUGCUCCUCCUCUGACUCCCAUUUCUGUGCCCCGCUCAAGCCUGCUCCUCUUUCUGAAUCCCCUGUUCUGUUACCAACAUUGUUGACAGCCAGUCACCUCUCUUUGAAAUCUCACAGUGACCUUUGAUUCUUCCUUCUCUGGUGUCUCUUCUCCUCAAUUACCAAUUCACAAAGACACUGUUUUCACAAUAUAUAUUAUAUCCACCACCCCCGUCCAUUUCUACUGCUACCAUACUUGGCUCAGUUUUUCAUUCCUCACUGCUUAUCUUGACCGUGGAAUUGUUUCCUAAUUAGUCUUCCCACCUCCAAUGCUCCUCUUGUUCCAACCAUCUUAUAUUUUGCCUUGCCUUGGGCCAAUCUUUCUAAUAAGUAAUUUACAUGUUAGGAUUAGUUUCAGCUUCUAUCCAACAGAGGGGGCGGCGGGGUGGGGUGGGGAAGAGCAAUUCUCUGUUCCCUUAAGAAAACUUCCUAAAAGUUGGCUACACAGUCCUAUUUCCUUUAGAUUUCAUUAAUCAGAAUUUAGGCACAUGACCACACCUCGCGGCAAGAGACGUUAGGAAAUGCAGCUUUUAUUUCGUACAGGCAUAUAUCCAGUUAAAAAUCAAGGCUCUGUCAUGUCACUUCUUGUUCAAAAGCUUCCAGUGGCCCCCGCUGAAUUAUGAAUAUGCUUUUCACCCUGGCAUUCGAGACCCGCCAUGAUCUGGUCUCAGCUCACUCUCCAGCCUAGUGCCCUCUAUGUUUGCAAUGAAAAUGAGACUGUGUAAUAAAA